GUCUGGAUAGAUCUUCACUCCAAGCCGGGUUAGCGGAGGGGAGACAGACGCCGACGAGGAGGAGCUCAAUCGCCGCCAGGUGGCCGGCGGGGCCAGUGGCUGCUUUGGCGGCGGGGUAACCGGAGGAGCUUCACUUGGCGAAGUCAAUUUUCUGCGAGGGCGGGCAGGGAAACCACUGGGCGCGCCGCAGCAUGGACCCGCCCAUCGGAGAGGAAGAGGAGCUGCGCGGCGGUAGAGUACAGGGUGCGGCGGAGCCGUCGCGGGAGGGGAGUGACAGGACUGAACUAGUCAUUAGGGUCCUGACAGAGAGGAGCGAGGAGGGCCGCCGCUGCAGAAACGCGUUGCUGCCACAGGACUGGCUCCUCCACCAUGCCGCGCCACGCCGCUGAGAAAUUGAGUGCUCUGCUUUGCAAUUGGGAGGUCGGCUGUGCUAUUUGACAGAAUUAAGUGUGGUGCUUUGCAAUUGUCAGUGUUGUGGGAUGGCGGGAAGUGGCGAGGGGAUGCAUAUGGCCAUAUGGGGGUCACACUGGCUAGGCGUGUGAUUUACACUUUGAACUCACCUGGGAAGGAAUUUCCUACGGAGUAAUUGGGAUUUUUUUUUUUUUGAAUAGAAUCAGGAUAUAUUAUAAAGGUUCUUCAGAAGUAUAAAGUAUUCUAAACAUAAUAAGAAUUAGAUUGAGAUCCUAGAACCACCAAACAACUAUUACUACUGACACAAGCCGCCACUUGUGUUAUGCUCGAGUCCAUUUCUCUGGAUAAAUACUUCUGGGUUUAAUUAUAUUUACUUUCAGCUCUCGGUCAAUUAGUUAGUUAUCGAGGGUCGACCACUUGGCAGCUUCUGGCUUUGGUACAAAAAGGGCAUAUCCUACAUUAUUAGAUGAAACAAUGUGAGCUUGAACCGUGCAAUUGCCAGUGACCCAGUGUCACUAAAUGGUUCCAAGAAUAUUAAGUAAGAGAGAGAGAUUUUACAAAUUCGUUAAAGGGCGUGAACAUAACUACUCUACAUUCCCUGUAUUUUCUCCUCAUGUUCUCUGCUUGGACCUAGGUUUUGGUGAGCACUACGCUGUAAGUUUGUGCAUAUAUCGCAGUCCAGUGCUAAUUGUUA